rnacentral:rRNA from 1 species
CCUACGGGGAGCAGCAGUGGGGAAUAUUGCACAAUGGGGGGAACCCUGAUGCAGCAACGCCGCGUGGGUGAAGAAGUACUUCGGUAUGUAAAGCCCUGUCAGCAGGGAAGAAAAUGACGGUACCUGACCAAGAAGCCCCGGCUAACUACGUGCCAGCAGCCGCGGUAAUACGUAGGGGGCAAGCGUUAGCCGGAUUUACUGGGUGUAAAGGGAGCGUAGACGGACAGGCAAGUCUGGAGUGAAAGCCCGUGGCUCAACCACUGGACUGCUUUGGAAACUGUGUUGCUGGAGUGCAGGAGGGGUAAGCGGAAUUCCUAGUGUAGCGGUGAAAUGCGUAGAUAUUAGGAGGAACACCGGUGGCGAAGGCGGCUUACUGGACUGUAACUGACGUUGAGGCUCGAAGGCGUGGGGAGCAAACAGGAUUAGAUACCCCAGUAGUC